AGAAUCUCGUCAGUUAAGGACCUGGUCAGUUGGGUCCAGUCAGUGGGGGCCUGGUCAGUGGAGACCUAGGCCAUCAGUGGGUCCUGGAUAGUGAGGCCUGGUCAUUGGGGUCCUGGCCCAGGCUUGGACCUGAAGAAGCUGGCAACCCGCGAACGCCAACAGGCACAGUCGAAAAAAGCAAAAGAAAAAUCCCAAACAAAAUCCUGUUCUCCCUAGCCAAAGGACCAGGAGAGGGGGCAGCCCAGCAAGACAAAACACAUUUACACAAUUCUGGCUAACCUCAGCCAGUCCUUGGCCGUGAGUUCGUUUUUCUGCCACCUCACUUUGGGGCUGGGCUGGUUCUCCACCCUCGCAGGGUGCGUUUCUCAAUCCAGACGCUGGGGGGCGCUAGUACCUCGCGAGCUCCGCGAGGAUCAUUCCCGGGACGCCGCGGAGUCACCUCCCCUCCUAGGGACCCAGAGCUUCCCAGGGCCGCGCCUGUAGGUUUUCCAGAGGUCCCCGAAAACGUUAAAGACCUGGAAGGAAAAAAAAACUGUAAAACCACACACUUUGAUAUUUGACAACGUAAAAGCAAGGCUGCAAAAUCAAAAUCAAUGAACGCUUGAAGGAAAUGUCUACUUAGCUAGACAUAGUGCCACCUGGAUUCACUGUUGGCUCCAGAAUCCCCCCCACGGUGUCAUCACGUUGGAAAGUUUUUGUGGGUUAGAUGUUCUCUGUUGGCAAGAAUGCCUGUACAUGCCCAAGAAGCAUAUGAGUUUAAUGGGACCCCAAUAACUUCAAAAGCAAAAAGAUAACGAUCCUUUCUACUUUU
rnacentral:lncRNA from 1 species